UAAUAAUAAUAAUUCUUUUAGUUCAUGGGAUGUAUCCUUCAAGGUUUUAUACGGUAAGGAUGCGAAAUCCAAGACUAAAUUAGAAGUGCUGGGAAAGGUUUCGUUGAAUAUAGCAGAAUUGGCUUCCAAGAUGGAUUCUCAGAUGGAGGAAAAGCUGCCUGUUUCUGUACGUAUUGAUGGCGGAGUAGAAAAUCAAGCUACCCUUUCUAUAUGCGUGAGCUUUGCUGAGGUAAGGAAUUCUAUUGACCCCCCAGAAAUCGUUCAAAACUCGGUUGAGUCACAUGAUAAAGAAGGAUUGCCUAAAAUAGCUUCUAGCCUGACACCCUCUAAGAACAAAAUCGAUGAAGAAGGCCCACUGAGUUUUUCUUACUCGAAUGACUUAUUCGGAAAUGAGUCGAUUGGCAAUACAGGGA
rnacentral:misc_RNA from 1 species